AGAGGUCUUCAUUUGGUGAACUCAUAAAGGUUCUAUGUAGAACCCUGCUACAAAGCGGUUUCCCAUCUGAAAAGGUUCCAUGUAGCACCCUUUAGAGGUCUUCAUUUGGUGAACUCAUAAAGGUUCUAUGUAGAACCCUGCUACAAAGCGGUUUCCCAUCUGAAAAGGUUCCAUGUAGCACCCUUUAGAGGUCUUCAUUUGGUGAACUCAUAAAGGUUCUAUGUAGAACCCUGCUACAAAGCGGUUUCCCAUCUGAAAAGGUUCCAUGUAGCACCCUUUAGAGGUCUUAGGCAGGUGAACUCAUAAAGGUUCUAUGUAGAACCCUGCUACAAAGCGGUUUCCCAUCUGAAAAGGUUCCAUGUAGCACCCUUUUUAUAGAAGGUUCUAAUUAGAACCAUGCAGCAAGGUUUCUUAUUAGAAAAGGUUCCCAGAAGAAGCCCUUUUGAAGAAAUCUUUUUUUUCUCUUUUGAGAUUUGAGAUUUAAGAACGUUUAAUGGUUCCCCCAUAGUGAUUGGAAAACCUUAAACAAGGGGUUUCCUAUCUGAAAAGGUUCCAUCUAGCACUCUUAAGAGAUCUUGUGUUUGUCCCUCAUGGGUAAACUCUGGGUAAAAUAUAAUGAUCUAUGUAGAACACAACAAGGUUUCCUAUCAGAGAAGGUUCCAUGUAGAGCCACUUUUGAAAAGUAUCCUAAAAGCCUUAAAACAUUUUUACGAACAUUUAACGGUUUUCCAUUAAAGAUGUAGAACCCUACAACAAAGAGGUCCUGGCCUGGUGAAGUCUGAAAGGUUCUGUGUAGAACUCUAAAACAAAAUCUUUCCGAUCAGAUCAGAAAGGUUCCACGUAGUACCAUUAAAAGAUCUCGGAUUUGUCCGUCUAGGGAACUCUUGAAGGUUCUAUGCGGAACCUUACAUGUGUAGAACCCCUUUUGAGAUCUACAACUAUUUUCCAUCCAAGAAGACCUAGAUAAAAUCUUUUGCUUCCGAGCUGAGAACAUGCAAGAGUUCCC
ensembl:lncRNA